AAAUUGAAAAUUGAAAAAUUAGUACCAACAAAAUUGUUAUCAAUAGAAAAAAUAAAUGAAACUAUUCGAUAAAAAAAAUUCAUAACCGGUCCGACAGCAAUUAGCGCCAAUUCGAGAGAUGUGCUCGGCUGCCCUGCCACAAGACGAACGCCUUCGCCAUGGAUUACCUGAAAUCAGUUGUCCCUUCACAACUUAUUGCCGAACGAGGUUCAAAUUUAGUAGUCAUAAACCCUGGAUCUGCAAAUAUUAGGAUUGGCCUUGCAUCACAGGAUGCUCCUUUUAAUGUUCCUCAUUGCAUUGCUCGUUAUACCAACCAAGUCCCCAAGAGAAAUGUUCAAGAUCAGAUGCUUAAUUCACAAGUUACAACUGCACAGCACAUGGAGCGGGAGAGGGCAUAUGAUGUUAUUGCCUCGUUGCUAAAAAUACCGUUUCUGGAUGAAGAGGUUGCUAACAGUUCUUUCCCUCGUAAGAUGGGGCGAGUUGAUGGACAUGGUAUGCAUAAUGGCAAAAAGGAUACUGUCUUUAGUUGGACUGACGUACAUGAGAGGGACCCUACUUCACCAGUGGCAGUGGAAAGUUCAAGCUCCAAGGAUGUGAACCAUGAGCCUUUGGACCAGCGCGUAGAUACUGAUUCCAAGGAGCUUACUUCCAGUAUAAUCAAAUAUAGACAAUUUAUUUGUGGUGAAGAUGCUCUUAAAAUAUCUCCCAGUGAGCCAUAUUGCCUGCACCGCCCUAUUCGCAGAGGUCACUUGAAUAUCUCACAGCAUUACCCUACUCAACAGGUACUUGAGGACUUGCAUGCUAUUUGGGACUGGAUUUUGAUAGAAAAAUUGCAUAUUCCUCAUAGUGAAAGAAACUUUUAUUCUGCUAUUCUGGUGGUCCCAGAAACAUUUGACAACCGCGAAAUAAAGGAAAUGUUGACAAUAGUAUUGCGAGAUUUGCGGUUUGGUUCAGCAGUGGUUCAUCAGGAAGGGCUUGCUGCAGUUUUUGGGAACGGACUAUCAUCAGCAUGUGUUGUUAACGUGGGAUCACAGGUGACAACAGUUAUUUGCAUUGAGGAUGGAGUUGCCCUGCCUGCCACAGCAAAGACUUUGCCUUUUGGUGGAGAGGACUUAUCUAGAUGCCUCCUGUGGACUCAAAGGCAUCACCAAACUUGGCCACCAAUUUGUACAGACAUCUUGUCGAAGCCUGUAGAUCUUCUGAUGCUUAAUAGAUUGAAAGAGUCAUACUGUGAGAUUAGGGAAGGAGAGGUCGAUGCUGUUGCUGUAGUUCAUUCAUAUGAAGAAGGCACCCCUCCUAGUUCUCAUAAAACAAGACUAACUGCGCUUAAUGUACCACCCAUGGGUUUAUUCUUCCCAAUGCUUUUGGUUCCAGAUGUGUAUCCACCACCACCCCGUGCAUGGUUUCAUGACUAUGAAGAUAUGCUGGAAGAGACAUGGCAGACAGAGUACUCCAAAAGACCUGAUGUACCAGAUAAUGUAUAUCCUGGGGUUAACGUUAAUUACCCAAUGUGGGAUAGCUACCCAGUUUAUGCAACUAAACCUAAGAAAGAAGAGAAAGUUGGCCUUGCUGAAGCUAUCACAAGCAGUAUCCUCUUAACAGGGCGGAUUGACCUCCAGAGGAAACUGUUCUUAAGCAUACAGUUAGUGCUAGUAAUAUUGUUUUGGGCUUAGGUAGGUGGAGUGGCUUUAACAAGGGGUCUUAUUCCUGCAAUGGAGGAAAGAGUUUUGCAUGCAAUUCCUUCAAAUGAAGCAAUUGACACUGUUGAGGUGUUGCAAUCAAGAAUAAACCCUUCUUUUGUAUCAUGGAAAGGUGGAGCGAUUAUUGGAGUGCUUGACUUUGGGCGGGAUGCUUGGAUACAUCGUGAAGACUGGAUUAACAGUGGAAUUUUUACUGGAAGUGGCAGAAAAUACAAGGAUUCUUACUAUCUUCAAGCACAAGCGAUGUGCUACAUGAAUUCCUAAAAGAUGAUAAGCUUUUCUAGCAUUCACAAUUUAACCAGUUCUUGCUCUAACUAGAAAGGCGUUAGCUCAGGUUUUGAUUUGUAAAUUCUCUCGUAGCAAAUAUGCUCUCAAGUGACUUUUUUUUCCUUUUUCUGAUCAAACUCAAAUGACGUUGGUCCUUGUGCUUUUGAAUUUUUCUCUUUUAGUGAUUUUUUGAUUAAUUGUCUUCAUUUUGAAGAUUGAUGUCAGAUUGGGGAAUGAAACACUUAUCCUUUAAUUGAAUCUAUAGUUUCAGGAAGUGAAGAUUUGAUAAUAGAAAAA